UACGAAGGGGGCUAGCGUUGUUCGGAAUUACUGGGCGUAAAGAGUGUGUAGGCGGUGCUCCAAGUCUGGUGUGAAAUCUCCCGGCUUAACUGGGAGGGUGCAUUAGAAACUGGAAUGCUAGAGGAUGGGAGAGGUAAGCGGAAUUCCUGGUGUAGCGGUGAAAUGCGUAGAUAUCGGGAGGAACACCAGUGGCGAAGGCGAGCAUCUGGGAUUAACCUGACGCUGAGGAGCGAAAGCCAGGGGAGCAAACGGG
rnacentral:rRNA from 1 species